CCAAAGAGCCUGGAAUAACCGACCGAAAGGUUGGCUAAUACUGGAUAGUUCAAAUGAAAUAUAAUGUUUCGAUUGGGAAAGGGAGCGGGCAACCGCCUUCACUUUUUGAUGAGCCCGCGUCUGAUUAGCUAGUUGGUGAGGUAAUGGCUCACCAAGGCUGAGAUCAGUAGCUGGUCUGAGAGGAUGGCCAGCCACAUUGGGACUGAGAGACGGCCCAG
rnacentral:rRNA from 1 species